GGGCGGUUAGCUCAGCUGGUUAGAGCGAUUCCCUUACAAGGAAUAGGCCGGCGGUUCGAGUCCGUCACCGCCCA
rnacentral:tRNA from 5 species